rnacentral:tRNA from 1 species
GAGGGAAUGGCUCAGUGGGCAGAGUACAGGACCUGCAAGCCUCUGGCAAUGCGUAUGUCACAGCAGGGGUUCGGCCUCUUUCUCUCU